AACGCGAAGAACCUUACCUACCCUUGACAUCCUAGGAAUCCUGAUGAGAGUUGGGAGUGCCGAAAGGAACCUGGAGACAGGUGCUGCAUGGCUGUCGUCAGCUCGUGUUGUGAGAUGUUGGGUUAAGUCCCGUAACGAGCGCAACCCUUGUCCUUAGUUGCCAGCAUUCAGUUGGGGACUCUAAGGAGACUGCCGGUGAUGAACCGGAGGAAGGCGGGGACGACGUCAAGUCAUCAUGGCCUUUAUGGGUAGGGCCACACACGUGCUACAAUGGGACAUACAGAGAGUCGCCAACCCGCGAGGGGGAGCCAAUCUCAGAAAGUGUUUCGUAGUCCGGAUUGGAGUCUGCAACUCGACUCCAUGAAGUUGGAAUCGCUAGUAAUCGCGAAUCAGCUACGUCGCGGUGAAUACGUUCCCGGGCCUUGUACACACCGCGAGC
rnacentral:rRNA from 1 species